rnacentral:rRNA from 1 species
AUUGAACGCUGGCGGCAUGCCUAACACAUGCAAGUCGAACGGCAGCACGGCAGUAGCAAUACUGUGGGUGGCGAGUGGCGGACGGGUGAGGAAUACGUCGGAAUCUGCCCAGUCGUGGGGAGUAACUAGCCGAAGGUUAAGCUAAUACCGCAUACGACCGAGAGGUGAAAGACGGGGACCGGCAAGGCCUCGCGCGAUUGGAUGAGCCGACGUCGGAUUAGCUAGUUGGUGGGGUAAAGGGACCCACCAAGGCGACGAUCCGUAGCUGGUCUGAGAGGAUGAUCAGCCACACUGGAACUGAGACACGGUCCAGACUCCUACGGGAGGCAGCAGU